rnacentral:lncRNA from 1 species
UAAAGGAGCUUCUCCUGUUAAAACCUUGUUUGGUUUUACAGCCCCCUUAGGUAAAUUUUGUCAACCCCUGAGUGGAACAAGGCUCAAGGGAGCUGUGUAAAGGGGAUGCUUCAGUAGAUGGCACUCUCCCUCUGAGUGAGGAUGAGCAAAUACCUCAACCAAGGAGGUUGCAGUGAGAGCAACUUCCUUUAUACUCUACAGAAAUUGCAGUGAAUGCAAGGAAAGCUUUGCCUAAUUGUGCAGUGAAGCACAGUUUUUCACAAACCUGGAUCUAUCAAGUCCUCACAUCAGGCUUUCCCCCUGCUUAAAUGACUAUAGUCUGGUUCUGUUCAGCCUGAAUUCCUCCUGAAACCUUAAUGCCUUGAGCCGACAUCUUGUUCAAUCAGAUAAGGAAACAUAUCUGGGUCAUGAAACUCAUCAAAAACAUUUGGUUUACGGUGCCAACCUUUACCUUUACAGCAGCUGUUGUGAAUUCAGAGGAGGUUUGAAAUCCCACAAACACCGGCUUUCAAGUAGUGGUUUCAAAUCCAAGAACAAUUCCCCGACUGAUUCAUCAAACCAGCUCAAGGGUGGAAGAUCACAAGCAAAAGAUGAAGAGCAAGUGGCCAGCCCAGCCUAAACCAUGACAGAUGGCAGAAGCAGAACCUGAUGAUCACACGGGUGCCUUAGACUUUAGAAGAUCCCUCCUGAAAGGAUCCAGAAGACGUGGUGAGAAAAUAGUCA